rnacentral:rRNA from 1 species
UACGUAGGGUGCAAGCGUUAAUCGGAAUUACUGGGCGUAAAGCGUGCGCAGGCGGUCCGUUAAGACAGAUGUGAAAUCCCCGGGGCUUAACCUGGGAACUGCAUUUGUGACUGGCGGACUCGAGUAUGGCAGAGGGGGGUAGAAUUCCACGUGUAGCAGUGAAAUGCGUAGAGAUGUGGAGGAAUACCCGACGGCGAAGGCA